UACAAAGGGGGCUAACGUUGUUCGGAUUUACUGGGCGUAAAGCGCACGUAGGCGGAUCGUUAAAUGAGGGGUGAAAUCCCAGAGCUCAACCCUAAAACUGCCUUUCAUACUGGCGAUCUUGAGUCCGGAAGAGGUGAAUGGAACUCCUAGUGUAGAGGUGGAAUUCGUAGAUAUUAGGAAGAACACCAAUGACGAAGACGACUCACUGGUCCAAUACUGACGCUGAGGUGCGAAAACAUGGGGAGCAAACAGG
rnacentral:rRNA from 1 species